AAUUUGCGUUAGGGAUUGAAGCGGCAUCCUUUUUUUGAGGUACGAAAAAAAAGAUAUAGCGUAAAGCCCGACCCUUG
rnacentral:sRNA from 1 species